UGAGAAUAACAUCUGCUUGCCCAAGAUCUUUCAUAUCAAAAUUUUCAUUUAAUAAUUUUUUCACAUCAUAUAUCACAUUCAUAUUAGUACUUAAAAUCAAGAUAUCAUCAACAUAUAAUCAUAAGAUCACUAUCUGUCCAUCAUUCUCCUUCGAAUACAUGCAUUCAUCAGACAUGUUCACAUGAAAACCAUUUGAUACAACCAAAGA
rnacentral:lncRNA from 1 species